AGUGAACGCUGGCGGCAGGCCUAACACAUGCAAGUCGAACGGUAACACAGUAAGGCCUGGUUCUUACGUGUGGCGAGUCGCGGGCGGGAGAGGAGUACGUGGGACUCUACGUUUGAGGGGGGGAUCACGUAGGGAAACUAACGCUAAUAGCGCAACCGAGCUACACGAGAGAGCAGGGGCUCUUCGCACCUUGCGCGAUGGAAUGAGCCGAUGUGGGAUUAGCUAGUGGGGGGGGUAAAGGCACACCAAGGCGACGAUCCGUAGCUGGUCUGAGAGGAUGACCAGCCACACUGGAACUGAGACACGGUCCAGACUCCUACGGGGGGCAGCAGUGGGGAAUAUUGGACAAUGGGCGCAAGCCUGAUCCAGCCAUACCGCGUGUGUGAAGAAGGCCUUCGGGUUGUAAAGCCCUUUUGUUGGGAAAGAAAAGCAGAAGGUUAAUACCCCGCCGUUUUGACGUUACCCGCAGAAUAAGCACCGGCUAACUUCGUG
rnacentral:rRNA from 1 species